GUGGUAUUGGUGCUCAGUGUGGGCUGGUAUUUGCUUAUAACUCAUCUUCUGAUAAAUUUAAUGCAGAAGAACACUUCAAACGCUUUGAAAAAUACAACAGAUGGAAACUUCAGGAGCUCAGGCAAUUUGUAAAACACAGGGCUGGCUGUUCAUCUGAAGACCUUGGAGAAGGUGUUCC